UACGGAGGGUGCAAGCGUUAUCCGGAUUCACUGGGUUUAAAGGGUGCGUAGGAGGUCAGGUAAGUCAGUGGUGAAAUCUCCAAGCUUAACUUGGAAACUGCCGUUGAUACUAUCUGUCUUGAAUAUUGUGGAGGUGAGCGGAAUAUGUCAUGUAGCGGUGAAAUGCUUAGAUAUGACAUAGAACACCAAUUGCGAAGGCAGCGCACUACACAAUCAUUGACUCUGAGGCACGAAAGCGUGGGGAGCAAACAGG
rnacentral:rRNA from 1 species